rnacentral:lncRNA from 1 species
GUGUGGCUUGACCAACCUUUGUGUCCCCAUGAAUAAGUUUUUAAUCAAUUAUUUUAUUAAAUAAUUUUUAGAAUUCAAUUUUGCCCCAGAUACUUCUUCAGCAGGCGUGUGGCACCUCCACUGAAGGUUCUGGUUAGGUCUAACCAUUAACAUGCCAGAAUUUAGUGUAUCUAACAAAUGAGUGACCAGGUCUGAGUGUGGCUCAGCCAACCUGACCAUCAUCAGAAAGAUAUAAUUAAAAUAAUAUAUUAUGAAUGAUAAUUCCGACAGCU